CCUACGGGGGGCUGCAGUGGGGAAUAUUGCACAAUGGGGGAAACCCUGAUGCAGCGACGCCGCGUGAGUGAAGAAGUAAUUCGGUAUGUAAAGCUCUAUCAGCAGGGAAGAAAAUGACGGUACCUGAGUAAGAAGCCCCGGCUAACUACGUGCCAGCAGCCGCGGGAAUACGUAGGGGGCAAGCGUUAUCCGGAUUUACGGGGUGGAAAGGGAGCGUGGCCGGGAGUGCAAGUCUGGCGUGAAAGGCGUGGGCUCAACCCCCGGACUGCUCUGGAAACUGUACGGCUGGAGUGCAGGAGAGGUAAGUGGAAUUCCUAGUGUAGCGGUGAAAUGCGUAGAUAUUAGGCGGAACACCAGUGGCGAAGGCGGCUUACUGGACUGUAACUGACGUUGAGGCUCGAAAGCGUGGGGAGCAAACAGGAUUAGAUACCCCAGUAGUC
rnacentral:rRNA from 1 species